AGGACGCUUCCUUCGGGAAGCGAGCGUACACAGGUGCUGCAUGGCUGUCGUCAGCUCGUGUCGUGAGAUGUUGGGUUAAGUCCCGCAACGAGCGCAACCCUUGCCUUUAGUUGCCAGCAGUUCGGCUGGGCACUCUAAAGGGACUGCCGGUGUUAAACCGGAGGAAGGUGGGGAUGACGUCAAGUCCUCAUGGCCUUUAUGACCAGGGCUACACACGUACUACAAUGGCCGAUACAAAGGGCAGCGACACUGCGAGGUGAAGCCAAUACCCGUAAAAUCGGUCUCAGUCCGGAUUGGAGUCUGCAACUCGACUCCAUGAAGUUGGAAUCGCUAGUAAUCGUGGAUCAGCAUGCCACGGUGAAUACGUUCCCGGGCCUU
rnacentral:rRNA from 1 species